UUGGAGGUAGGUGUCCUAGUUUUAAUUUUUUUUUAUUUUCUUUUGUUAUUAUCUUCUUCUACUCCUUUCUUUCAUUAGAAUGUUUAUUUGGUCAGUUUUGUUCUAUGAUUUUUUUAGUUUUUUUUAUUCUCGAAUUAAUAGAUUAUUUGUUGAUUUCAUUUGGUUUUUGUUUUGUUGAUCAGUAGUUUAAACUCGCAUAAUAGUAGUUCUUGAAUUGAUUCAUGCUAAUUUCGAUGAAAGAUUGAAAUUGUUUCAUUUUUUUUCCAGUAUUGAGAGCUAUUAGGCAGUCUGCUGGUAGAUUUUGUUUGUAUAAAGAUUGAAUAGCCUUAAAUGAUGUGAAUUGGGUUCAGCAUUGGUCCAUGAAUUUCAAAUUUAAAAGCAGAAACUUUAAGAUAACAGUGGGAAUUAUUUAAGUGUUUACCUACUUAGGAAGAUUCCAUAAUGGUAGGGUUUAGUAUUUGCACUACUGAACUAAUAAAAGAAAAAGGUACUAAGUAGUGAAUGAAUUAAAAAAUGAAAUGGGGACUGGUAAUGGCUGGCUUAAUGCCAUUUUAGGAGCUGGAAAUCAGAGAACAUGGGGGUGUGAUUAAAAGGCUAAAAAUACAGGUGUAAAAGGAUAUACAGUAUGGAAAAGGGAGGGACAAGAUUAAAAGAAGACAGAACCAAGAAUAUAGGCUGAAGUUUUUAAGAGUUGAGAGGAAGACAUAGAGGGAAUACACUAAAAAUACAGACAAGAGUCUAGGAAUAUACCUCUUAGAAAACACAAGAGACUGGAAGAUAACUUCAUAGAUAAAAUACCUUCAGAAGAUACAAAAGGCUACAAACUUCUUAUUUCUUUUAUUUUUCCGAUUUUCUCAAUCUCAAAUUGGCUGAAGCAAUCUCUGAAUCAUUGAGGAACUUGUUUUCUUUUGAAAAGUCUGGGUUGAAUUCUACAAUAGAGUUACUGUUUCAUUGGUUUAUGAGUUGAUUUCAUUGGGAUUUUGAGUUGAAUCUGGGCUGUUCUUUUGCUGUUGUUGAUUUGUGCGCUUAAUAUUGCUGAUUCCUCACUCUUCCCUUUGCCUUUUCAAUUCCAGGAAAUAUUCACAACCAUACAAACGUAAAGGGAUGAAAUACAACAGAGCAAACACAUGCUUAUUUUGACGCCCAUGAAGUGUUCGAAAAAAGAUUCUAUAGGUUGACCUUCCCCGUAGAAUCAUGAAAUGCUGCUAUUUACUCAACAAAUGCCGAUAUUACUCAGACCAACAAAAAGGCGUGAAAGAUUCAGAUUCAGCUUUCUCCAUUGGUAUUUGAGGUACACUUCAAAGAUUCUUAACUACUAUGAUCAUUUUCACGCAAUCGAUGCAGAGGGUGUAAAGAUUCUGAAAUACUACAAUUUUUACAAAAUUGAUAUCUAAGGGUGUCUGAUAUGGAAUGCAAAGAGCGUUGUUUUGCUGAUAUUUUAAUUAAUUGUGAACAAAGUUCGACAACAAUAUCCACAGAAGUUGAUCAUAAUAUAGUGAUAUGGAGUUUAGACUAUAUAAGUUUUCCUAUGCAGUGUUAGAUAUUGGUAUUGGAUAGUGCUUCAACUUAAGGGUGUUAAACGGCCCAGGUUGACCCGGUUCCAGACCGGCCCAGACCGGUAGAACUCGGAACCGGCCCGGACCGGUAAGAGGGGGCUGGGCUGGGCUGGAUAGGGGGGUUGGGGGGUUGGUCCGGUUUAGUUCUUUGAAACGGGUAGCCGGCCCGGUUGAACCCGGAAGAGUGAACAGUAACUCUUACCGGGUUAACCGGCCAGGUUCAAACGGCUACUUUUUUUUUGUUUUUUUUUAAUUUUCGAAAUCUGUGGGCCCCACAGACCGUUGGCAACGGUCAGACAUCCAUAUUGGUCCGUUGGCUAAUGGAAAUAUUGCAUAAAUAGCCCCCUUUUUUUUUUUUUAAUUUUUAGCCCUUUUUCAAUUUACAAAACUAACCUUCUC